AAUCUCGCGUGUAUAUCAAAAACAUCACCUCUAGCAUCACCUGUCGGAGAUCGCCCGUUUUAUCAAAAACAAGUUUUUUAGUUUUAAAUUAAAAGUUUGGCCUGCUCAAUGAGUAUUUAAAUAGCCGCCGUAUUUUAACUGUGCUAAGGUAGCAUAAUAAUUAGUCUUUUAAUUGAGGUUUGGAAUGAAAGGUUGGACGAAAAAUAUACUUUAUUAUUUUAUUUUUUUUUGAAAUUUCUUUUUUAGUUAAAAAUUUAAAAUUUUUAAGAGGGACGAUAAGACCCUAUAGAUCUUUAUAAUUUUUUUUUUUUAUAAGUAUUUAGUUUAUAUUUUUUUAAAUAGAAAAAUUUAUUUUGUUGGGGUGAUAUUUAAAAUUUUAAACUUUAAAAUAUUUUUACAUUAGAUAAUGUAUUUUUUGAUCUAGUUUUUAGAUAAUUUGAAUUAGAUACCUUAGGGAUAACAGCGUAAUAUAUUUGGAGAGUUCUUAUUAAUAAAUAUGUUUGCGACCUCGAUGUUGGAUUAAAGUUUGGUUUUGGUGCUAGUAGCUAAAGGUCUAGGUCUGUCGA
rnacentral:rRNA from 1 species